rnacentral:rRNA from 1 species
GAUGAACGCUGGCGGCGUGCUUAACACAUGCAAGUCGAACGAGAAGUGGAGACGGAAACCUUCGGGCGGAAGGCGUUAGUUCGAGUGGCGGACGGGUGAGUAACGCGUGGGUAGCCUGCCUCAUACAGGGGGAUAACAGUUGGAAACGACUGUUAAUACCGCAUAAGACCACAGCACCGCAUGGUGCGGGGGUGAAAACUCCGGUGGUAUGAGAUGGACCCGCGUUCGAUUAGCCAGAUGGCUGGGUAACGGCCCACCAAAGCGACGAUCGAUAGCCGAUCUGAGAGGCUGACCCGCCACAUUGGGACUGAGACACGGCCCAGACUCCUACGGGAGGCAGCAGUGGGGAAUAUUGCACAAUGGGGGAAACCCUGAUGCAGCGACGCCGCGUGAGUGAAGAAGUAUGUCGGUAUGUAAAGCUCUAUCAGCAGGGAAGAAAAUGACGGUACCUGAGUAAGAAGCCCCGGCUAACUACGUG